rnacentral:lncRNA from 1 species
UUUUUUUUUUUUUUUUUUGUGAGUCACUGGCCUGCUCCCUUCAUUGAAGAAGCCUAAUAUAGGCGUUCAGAACUAUUUCCUGAGUUGAACCAAAGAUCUAAAGGAAUGAGGGAUUGAGUUACCACUCUUACCCCUUGGGGAUCUGAAGAAAGAAACUUUUAUAAUUAGGAAAAGUAGAUGGGAUGAUAAUAAGAAUCCCCCAAAGCUGGAGGUAAAGGGUUCUGCCUCCUUCCAAAUAGAUAGUGAACAACAUUCUAUUCUAGAAAGGCCUGAGGACUGAGGCAGGAUUUCAGAGAACAGGGUCAUGACGUGGAGAGGAAUUCAGGGAUAUUGAAAGAGUUUUGGAGAAAUUCUAGUCAAGAGACACACAAAAAGUGAGUUCUAUGUGGGCCAUUCAUUCAGCAGUGAAAUGUUGACAGUGUCCAAAUAAACCCAGAUCCCUGCCUCCCCCAAGAAAUGCCUGGUCUUUCAGGGGAGACAAACCCAUAUAGGUUACAAAUACAGGGUGACUUCUGUAAACAGUGGUCACUGUCUGAGUAGCUGCAGGAAAACAAGUUUUAACGUCACAAAAAGUCACAAAUGAGCCGGCUACUUAUAAUGUGCUACGUUUGAGUGUGUUCCCUAGAAUUCUUGUGUUAGAAACUUGGUCCCCAGUGCAGCAGUGUUGAGAGGUAGAACUUUUGGGAGGUGACUGGGUCAUGAGAGCUGUACCCUCAUGAAUGGAUUGAUACAUUCAAGGAUUGAUGGAUUAAUGGGUUAUUGAGGGAGUGGGUUAGUUACUGUGAGAGUAGAGCUAUUAUAAAAGUCAGUUUGGUCAUCCCACGUGAACCCCCCUUGACAUGUGAUGCCCUGCACUGCGGAGUCCCCACCAGCAAGAAAACCCUUACCAGAUGCGGCCCCUCCACCUUGGACUUCCCAGCCUCCAGAACUAAAAGAAAAUAGACUAAGACACAACAUUAGUGCCUACCUGAACGGUCCCAAACACUAGCAUCUAUUUAUCUGGUCCACAUCUUUGUCAACUGUUCUGUUGACUGUUGGGACCAUCUGUCGUUACAAGGCAAAAACAAAACAAAAACAAAUAAUAGCAAACAAAGUGCAGAGGUACAAAUAUUGCAAAAAUAAAUAGAGGGAUAGCAGAACUGCAUAAAGUUGAAGAGGGCAAAGUUGGAGUCUUUCUCAAACUAGCUGUUGACAGUGGAGAAACUGGCGGGGUUGCACUGGUUAGCGAAGGAGUGAUGAAUGGAAAGAAUGGUAACAUUAGAGGUGCUUCUAAAGAGAAUGACUAGAAUAUCAAAUAAUUAAGAAAGGCCCUUAAGAAAACAGAGUCAGUCCUUAAAUAUUUUUACUGAAAUUGGUUUCUCUUUAUGAUUGAGAUGACCGUUUCUGAACAUGCUGCAAAAGUCACAUGUGAUUUGAAGGUUAUUUUGUGUGAUUCAGUGACUUUUCUUUGAAAACAGUUAUAACUAAGAUCAAUACUACAUCAUAUAAAAUCAGUACUACUUCUCUGUUCUAAGAAUUUGUGUACAGUUGGAACUAUAACCUAUAGGUUGAUAGUCAAAAGAUAAACUAAGGUUAUAUUUAUAUUUUUUAGUAUUGCUCUCAAGGUAAAGUUCUAACUGAAUUACUUCUUACCGAUACCUUGAGAAUGCUGGUCCUCAUUUCAAAUGAAUGAAUGUUAAGCAGCUUUUUGAAGGUACACACAUGCAGGGAUUCCUUAGAGCACCUCCGCCCCAGUGGCUGAAGUGUGGC